rnacentral:misc_RNA from 1 species
UUGAGACUUUAGAAAAGUAUUUCUAUUGCUAUUAUUCGAGAACAUAUUGAACACGUACUUUGCUGGCUCUUGAUUUUGAUUUGGUUUUGAAAUAAAGAGGAAGCUGUCUCGUUAAGGACUACGUGGCUUCUGUUUUGGAGGUUUCUGGGGAUGGUUCCUUCUCUAUGCUCUUUGUUUUGUUGUCUAUUCGACAAGUUUCCCUGCAAAAGAUUUGAUUUUCUCGCCUUCCCCUCUAUUUUUUCUUCCUCAUUUCUAAUUUUCUCCUCCAUUGAAAAACUAAGCCAGUUGUAAAGAUUUGCUCUUUUAAAGUCUUGCCAUGUUCUUGAUUUUCUUGGAAAGGAAAUGGGAUUCUUGAGCACUUUCUUGGGAGUUUUUGGUUUUGGAUUUGGACUUCCUAUUGGACUUCUACUUGGGUUCUUUCUCUUUGUUUAUUCUCAUCCAAAAGAUGUUAAGGAUCCAGUGGUUAGACCGCUUCAUGAAUUGGACUCGAGCACCUUGCAAGAAAUUCUGCCUGAGAUUCCAUUUUGGGUGAAAUGCCCUGAUUAUGAAAGAGUGGACUGGUUAAACAAGUUUCUUUUGGAUAUGUGGCCUUACCUUGACAAGGUAAUUUGAUCACUGGACUAGCCUUGAUCUUUCUGAUGCAUUUUUAAACAUUGUACUUGUGAAUUAUUUUCAUGCACAGGCAAUUUGUGCUACAAUAAAAAGCACAACAGAACCUAUAUUUGCAGAGUACAUUGGGAAGUAUAAGAUAGAAGCAAUUGAAUUUGAGCAUCUUACUCUUGGAACUCUUCCUCCUACCAUUCAUGGUGUCAAAGUAUAUGAGACUAAUGAGAAGGAUUUAGUCAUGGAACCAGCAAUUAGGUGGGCUGGCAAUCCCAAUAUAAUUUUGGUGUUAAAAUUAAUGUCUUUACAAGUCAAAGUUCAGGUCAGAAGAGUCUCACUCUAAAGGCAUAAACUUUGAUGAAAGAAUGGUCUUAUUAGUUCCUAUUAAGAGCAUGCAUAUCUUCUAAAAGAUUGGCAAGGCUUUUCUGCAGUUAGUUGAUUUGCAAGUAUUUGCAGCACCACGGAUAGCAUUGAAACCUCUACUGCCUACCUUUCCAUGUUUUGCAAACAUUGUGGUGUCCUUGAUGGAGAGGCCGCAUGUAGAUUUUGGACUAAAAAUUCAGGGAGGGGAUGUAAUGUCAAUACCUGGCCUUUACCGAUUUGUUCAGGUGCUGCACUGGAGAUCAUCAAAAAACAAGUAGCAAGCCUUUAUCUUUGGCCCCAAUCUCUUGAAAUACCUAUCCUUGAUGCAUCAACUGUGGCUGUAAAGAAGCCUGUGGGGAUACUGCAUGUGAAGGUCGUGCGGGCAAUGAAACUCUUAAAGGCUGAUUUCUUGGGAACAUCUGAUCCAUAUGUCAAACUCAGCCUAACAGGAGAGAAGCUGCCAGCAAAGAAAACCACAAUCAAGAAGAAUAAUUUAAAUCCUGAGUGGAAUGAGAACUUCAAGCUUAUUGUCAAGGAUCCUCAAUCUCAAGUUCUUGAACUGCAAGUGUUUGAUUGGGAUAAGGUUGGUGGACAUGACAGAUUAGGAAUGCAGGUAGUUCCCCUAAAAGUCCUGACACCACAUGAUCCAAAAGAAUUUACUCUUGAUUUGCUUAAACACACAAAUAUUGCUGAUCCUCAAGACAAGAAGCGAAGAGGGCAAAUUGUCGUGGAGCUGACUUUUGUGCCUUUCAAAGAAGAUAGUGCAAAAUGCAAUGAACCUUCGGAUGGUGGAAGUGAAAAGUCUUCUGAAGAUGAGAAAUUGAGUGGAGCAGGUUUACUUUCGGUUAUCGUUCAAGGAGCUGAGGAUGUUGAAGGAGAGCAUCACAAUAAUCCAUAUGCAGUAGUGCUUUUCAUGGGAGAAAAGAAGAAAACAAAGAUGAUCAGCAAAACUCGGGACCCGCGAUGGAAUGAGGAAUUCCAAUUUACACUUGAUCAGGCCCCUUUACAUGAGAAGAUCCGUAUUGAUGUUAUGAGCAAGCGGACACGCUUUAGUUUCCGAUCAAAGGAAUCAUUGGGGCAUGUGGAAGUUAAUCUUGAUGACGUAGUGCAUAAUGGACGUAUCAAUGAGAAAUACCAUCUCAUCGAUUCAAAGAACGGAGUAAUACAUGUGGAGAUACGGUGGGAUACAGUUUGAGAAAUGGAAUGAAUGUAAAAUAAUGGAGUGAUGCAUGCUUUUUUUGAGAAUAUACAAUAGCUACAGAAUUUACUACAGAACCAGGAAAAGAGAGAAUCAAAACAACACUGCAUCUAUUUUUUUUUUUCUUUCUUUUAAAUGUUUUAGUUGAUGCUGAAAUUAUACUGAAUGUUGCUCAAACACUACUUUUCUCUUUUUAAUGAAAAUAAUAAUCUUUUGUGGAUCAAAA